AUUGGAAACAUAUGAUUCUGGGGUUCCCAUAUUCUAACGGAUGCACAAUUGAGGUCCUUUGUGUCUCUGGUUAGCAGAAAUGCUGAGACCCUCACUGAAAAUAGCACCCAUGUACAUGCACCAAUAUGCAAUUGCAUGUAUCUUUUAAAGGAACUGUCAAAAAUGCUGCUUGAUACACUCAUUCUAAGGAUAUGAAGACAUUAGUUUAAAGACACAUUUGCUCUAUUAUCUUCAUAGCAGCUAUACUCAUAACUGUCACGAUAUCGAAUCAAGCUAUGCAUGCAUCAAGAGAUGAAUGCAUAAAGAGGCAACGGUAUAUUUGCUCAAUUGAAUAUCACUCUGUCACGAAAAAAUGUGAAGUUGACCUCUUGGA